GGCUCUGUGGCGCAAUAGAUAGCGCAUUGGACUUCUAGGCUGUGAGCUGAGCCAUUCAAAGGUUGUGGGUUCGAGUCCCACCAGAGUUG
rnacentral:tRNA from 1 species